rnacentral:lncRNA from 1 species
CCAGCUUCAGAGAUUUUUGCAGUUGUUCCAGUCAUUGGCAGCAGAGAACUGGAAGGAAAGACGACCAAAGGAGGAAUUGGCUUUGGGGGUGACAAGUGAGAUAUACCUGCUGGAGCGCGUGCUACGAGUGGGUGCUGCUAUGGUGACCAGUGAGCUGAGAUAAGGCGGGGCUUUACCUAGCAGAGACAUGUAGAUAGCCUGUAGCCAGUGGGUUUGGCGACGAGUAUGAAGCGAGAGCCAACCAACGAGAGCGUACAGGUCGCAAUGGUGGGUAGUGUAUGGGGCUUUGGUGACAAAACGGAUGGUACUGUGAUAGACUGCAUCCAGUUUGUUGAGUAGAGUGUUGGAGGCUAUUUUAUAGAUGACAUCACCAAAGUCGAGGAUCGGUAGGAUGGUCAGUUUUACGAGGGUAUGUUUGGCAGCAUGAGUGAAAGAUGCUUUGUUGCGAUAUAGGAAGCCGAUUCUAGAUUUAAUUUUGGAUUGGAGAUGCUUAAUGUGAGUCUGGAAGGAGAGUUUACAGUCUAACCAGACACCUAGGUAUUUGUAGUUGUCCACGUAUUCUAAGUCAGAACCGUCCAGACCAGUGAUGCUGGACGGGCGAGCAGGUGCGGGCAGUAUUGAAUAGCAUGCAUUUAGUUUUACUUGCGUUUAAGAGCAGUUGGAGGCCACGGGAGGAGAGUUGUAUGGCAUUGAAGCUCGUCUGGAGGUUAGUUAACGCAGUGUCCAAAGAGGGGCCAGAAGUAUACAGAAUGGUGUCGUCUGUGUAGAGGUGGAUCAGAGAAUCACCAGCAGCAAGAGCGACAUCGUUGAUGUCUAUCUUUCUACUUCCCACCCCCAUGGCACUGCCACCAUCUGACUGCUGAAAAUGAUCCCUGGUCAGGUCGUCCAGCUCUCUUGUCUUCUAACGUAAGAUACAACAUGUGUGAGAGUGAAAACCAGCAGAGAGGGAUGCGAUGCGGCUCUCGCGGAAGAACAUGUUUCUCAUGUCAAAGCGUCGGAGCCUGAGAAAGAAGGCCAGAUUGCAGAUGUUAGAUUUUGAGUCAAGUUCUGGAUAUGUUGGAUCUAGGUGACUGCCCAGACAAGGCAUGCAACUUUGCAGUUAUCCCUCAAAAUGAGAAAGAUG